UUUGUAAAUUUCAAAGGAAACAGUAAAACAAACAGUCAAAACUACAUCUUGGCAUAUUGCUACAAAGCAGCUGUGAGCAGCCAGGGUGGUUAUGACAUCGUUGUGACAUGCUGCUGCCCUCAGGGAAGAGGUUCACACUUUACCACAGGCAAAGGAUUCCAGGCACCAACCACACUCAUCUUGCAUCUGGAAGUGUUCAGGUGACAGGACUUCCUGCACCUGCCCCCUGGCAGUCCAACUCCGGGAACACUCCAUGGAAGAUCCUGCCAGAGCAGGAACAUCCGUUUCACCUGCCCCUCCUCCCCUGGCAACUUGAGAGGCAUCUGUCCUCAAUGGCUUGCAACUGAAACAGGAGAAUCACUGCCAAACCAUUUCUUGCACAACAGUGCACUUCGGAGGAACCACACAAAAUUUUUGUCAACUGAAUUGUAUCUUCCUCCUGACUUACAUGAUAGUCCAGAUAUGCUCUGGCUUCCGUGUUCAUGGGUGGAUCAUUAUUGGUAAUGGCUCCCAACACUUCAUAUUCUUUGAUUUCCACUAAAUACCUAUAAAACAGCAUUUACUUCACUAUGCAAGGGUAGAAACUUCCUUCUAGGAAUUCCUCCAUCAAGCAAACUCGAAUGUUUGUCUCUGCUGUUUUCUUAGUGAGGAGCAGAUAGAGAGAGGUGGCUGGGGGUCUAUCUAUGUCUCAGCCCCAACAGCCUCCUCCACUUCUGGCCUGAGUGUGUGUAAGCCUCUGCAUUUGGCACAUCUGCACACAGGUGUUUCAUUCAUGAACUCCUGACCAAGGAGGUCAGAAAAGAGGGAAGACAUUGGCCUGGGGAAUCCCCUGGCUCAUCAUCACUCUCAGCUGGCCUGACAAGGACUGACCUUGGCUCACCAAGCACAGAGCCUCAGUCACCUCCCAAAUCACGAGACUGGUACCCUAGGGGGACAAGAACAUCUUAUCAAGCUGCAAGUCACCGCUUAUCAACUGUCAUGGGAAGGCAGAGCCUUACCCUCGUGCCAUUCCUCAGGGAUGUUUGAGCCAAGACCUUUCCAUUUCACUCUCUCCCUGAAGGCCUUCAGGGGCUCCCCACUGUGUCCAGGAUGCAAUCCACACUGCGUGGUCUGGCCUUGAGUUUCCUUGUUUCUCAACCUGGUCCUUGCUAUGUCUGUGGUACCAUCUAUACACUGCUGUGUACCUACCCCUUCACCCCACACACCAGGAGUCCAACUCAUACAUGGUCUGUAGGCUGUUUUCCAAAUCUUUAUAGUUGCCAAAAAUACCUCAUUUCAAUGGCUGCCUCUUUCUUAUUAACUGAUGCCAUCCAAAAUGCAUUUCCACAGAUGUAGAUGCGGGCCAAACCUAUGUUCGUUCUAACGCAGGACCUUACCCUGGUGAGCACACAGCCCCUGGGACUGCACCUGAAUGAACAUCACGCAGACCACUUUCCAGAAUGGUUCUCUUCCUGUGAGCAGCUGCAGAUCCUCCCCCACCUCCCAAAAGCUCACUGCUGUGGAGCAGAGGCAGUUAGUUGUAUUAGGACACAUCACAGCAUCUCGCUGCCAAAGUGACAACUACAAUUAUGUUUUGGCCGACAGCUGGAGAUGAGAGAAUAUACAAACAACUCAGGCCUCAUGCGUGCCCAUGAAUCAGCAGUUCGUGCUGUCUGCCCAGUUAGUAGGUUCCUGACCUGGCUUUCCCUCCUUGGCUUGACUGGACUUCAGAUGGCAGUGGGGCUCAGUGGAACACACUGAAAUGGCAGUUAUCCUCCCCAAGACGUUGAGCCUUCCUGGAAGAGCAAUGAGGAAUGGCUGUUGGACAUCCCUCAUAAUUCAAGAGCCAUGUGUUCUGUUCUACAUGAAGGGGUUUUGAGUGGUCUUCAGAUGAAAGGAGCUCCUUGGGCAGACAAAAUACCACUGUUGGAAGCAGCCAGCACCCGAGAGCAGAAGAGUUUCUCUGAAGACCCUGCCAUGUGAAGACCCUCAUCAACCCUGUGUAGAGAUUCAUGCAGUGGAAAACUAAGACCUGCUACAAAUAACUACGUGAGUGUGCCAUCUUGGAGGUGAUCUUCCAGCCCCAGGCAAAAAUUCACAUAACUGCAGUACCAGACAACAAGUAGACUGAAACCUCACCAGAUAUUGAGCCAGAACCAUCCAGAUAAGCCACUCCUGAAUUUCUGAUUAUCUUUUUAAGUCUCUAAAUGUUGUAGUCAUUUGUUAUACAGCCAUAUAACUAAUACAGAAGGCAAAAUAAAGAUAUUUUUAGACAGACAAAAGGAAAGAGAGAGUUCAGAACCAGCAGAUCUGUACUAAAACAAAUUCUAAUGUAAAGUUUUCAGGUGUAAGGAAAAUGAAAUCAGAUGGAAGGUAAGAGCUAGAUAAGGAAUGAUGAACACCUAAAAUGGUAAAUAUAUGUGUAAAUCUAAUGUUUUCCUGGAUUUUUAAGUUACUGAGACUGACCUCAAAUUUGUAGUCAUCCUGCCUCAGCCUCGGAGGUCGCUGGGAUUAUGGGCAUCCACCAUUGGGCCUGGCUAUUUCAUUGGAUUUAAAAGUACAUUACAACAAUAAGAAGGCAUAAAUAUGGGCUGGGAUUAUGACUCAGUGAUAGAACGCUUUGGUUCCUGGAUUCUCAGUACCAUAUAAAUAACUAAAGAUAUUGUGUCUAUCUACAACUAAAAAUUUAAAAAAAGAAGGCAUAAAUAAAUGGAGAGAUAUACUAUACCAUGUUUAUGGAUUAGAAGAUUUAAUUGAUGUUAAUUCUCCUCAAAUUGAUCUAUAAGUUCAACACAAUACCAAUUAACAUAUCAGCCACCUGUCUUCCCCCAAAUUAACAAACUGAUACUAAAAUUUAUAUUGAAAAAGCAACAGACUAGCCAGACGUGAAGGUGCAUGCUUGUAAUCCCAGUGGCUGGUGAGUCUGAGACAGGAGGAUUCAAAGCCAGCCUCAGCAAAAUCAAGGCACUAAGGGGCUGGGGCUAUGGCUCAGUGGUGGCGCACUUGCCUGGCAUGUGUGAGGCACUGGGUUCAAUUCUCAGCACUACAUAUCAAUAAAUAGGAUAAAGUUCUAUGAACACCUAAAAAGAUAUUUUUAAAAAAUCGAGGCCCUAAGCAACUCAGUGAGACCCUGUUUCUAAAUAAAAUACAAAAUAGGCUAGGGAUGUGGCUCAGUGGUUAAGUGCCCCUGAAUUCAAUCCCCGGUACUAAAAAAUACCCAAUCAACCAACCAACCAAACAAACAAACAAACAAAAAAACAGACUAAAAUAGUCAAAACUAUUGUUUUAACAAUUUCAUAAAAGAACACAGUUGUGGGACUUUUACAACCUGAUUUUAAGACUUACCCUAAGCCAUAGCAAGGUUGGCAGACUGACCUAGAGUCAGAGGUAGCCUGUAAUCUGUUUUUGCCAGAAUUUUAAGCUAAUUUUAAGCUUUUUAAAUGAUUGGAAAAGAAAAAAAAAAAGAGGUGGUGAAACUGACUUUGUCUUUCUUAUAAGUACUUUAAGAAAGUCUCAGUCAUAGCCAGUCCAACUGGUGCACACCUGUAAUACCAGCAACUGUGGAGGCUAACGCAGGAGGAUCACAAGUUCAAAGCCAACCUCUUCAAUUUAGCAAGAUCCUGUCCCAAAAUAAAAAACAAAAAGGGGCUGGGAUAUAGCUCAGUGGUAAAGCACACCUGGGUUCAAUACCUGGUACCAAAAAAGAAAAAAAAGUUUGAAUCAUAAAAACAAAUUAGAAACAAUAAACUGCUUAGUAACUGGUCUUUUGUGAAAUGUUAAUACUAAAGUUUUUUGGUUUUUUUUUGGUACCAGGGAUUAAACCCAGGGGCAUUUUACCACUGAGCCACAUCCCUAGCACUUUUUAAAAAAAUAUUUUAAUUAGAGA